rnacentral:rRNA from 1 species
GAUGAACGCUGGCGGCGUGCUUACCACAUGCAAGUCGAACGAGAAGUGAAGACGGAAACCUUCGGGCGGAAGGCUUUAUUUCGAGUGGCGGACGGGUGAGUAACGCGUGGGUAACCUGCCUCAUACAGGGGGAUAACAGUUGGAAACGACUGUUAAUACCGCAUAAGACCACAGCACCGCAUGGUGCGGGGGUAAAAACUCCGGUGGUAUGAGAUGGACCCGCGUUCGAUUAGCCAGUUGGCGGGGUAACGGCCCACCAAAGCGACGAUCGAUAGCCGAUCUGAGAGGAUGACCGGCCACAUUGGGACUGAGACACGGCCCAAACUCCUACGGGAAGCAGCAGUGGGGAAUAUUGCACAAUGGGGGAAACCCUGAUGCGGCGACGCCGCGUGAGUGAAGAAGUAUUUCGGUAUGUAAAGCUCUAUCAGCAGGGAAGAAAAUGACGGUACCUGAGUAAGAAGCCCCGGCUAACUACGUG